CCCUUAGAUGUUCUGGGCGGCCCGCGCACUACAUUGGCACUGUCAGCAAGGGUCUGAAACUAAAACUUUUGGGUAUUCUGAGAACCCGUGUCGUGACUGGGAUUGACCCUUGCAAUUAUUGGUUAUGAACGAGGAAUUCCUUGUAAUCGCGGUUUAUCAGCCCGCGUUGAAUGCGUCCCUGCCCUUUGUACACACCGCCCGUCGCUCCUACCGAUGAAUCGUCCGGUGAAGUUCAUGGAGUAGUGGUUGUUCCAUCCGCUGUCGAAGUGAAAUAAACCUCAUGAUUUAGAGGAAGGAGAAGUCGUAACA
rnacentral:rRNA from 1 species